CCCUUAGAUGUUCUGGGCUGCACGCGCGCUACACUGAACAGUUCAACAAGUCUUAACCUUGGCCGAUAGGUCUGGGUAAUCUUUGAACGCUGUUCGUGAUUGGGAUAGACCUUUGCAAUUAUGGGUCUUCAACGAGGAAUUCCUAGUAAACGCAAGUCAUCAGCUUGCAUUGAUUACGUCCCUGCCCUUUGUACACACCGCCCGUCGCACCAACCGAUUGAAUGGUCCGGUGAAAUCUCGGGACGGCGGCUUGGUCGCUUGCGUCCGACUGCUGAAACUUGAUUAAACCAUAUCAUUUAGAGGAAGGUGAAGUCGUANCA
rnacentral:rRNA from 1 species